AGGGUGAUAAUCAAGAGGGCAUGAUAUGGGCCUCUACCCGGAGUAGCACCCGCGGCGGAGCUCUGGACACGUGCGGACACAACAUCUUUGUAUGUGGUGCUGAGGAUCGAACCUGGGCUGCACGCAUGCCAGGUGAGCGCGCUGCCGUUUGAGCCACAUCCCCAGCCCAAUCCUAGAUCUCUUCCUGAAAGAGUGGCCAGCUAUGGACUUAAGGCAGAUAUGACCCCUGGGGUGCAUGGUCACCAGACACUGGAUCUUGCAAGACUUGCCAUUAGAGCCUCACUUUUGUACCUCCUGUCUCUGAGUCCAUUCUUUGGCAUUGGGCAGCAGAUACUUUAACCUGAAUGAGAAUGAGAAACCUGUCUUCAUCAGGACCUCAGACAUCUAACAGCUUUGUGCACACCAAGACAAGUAAUGUAUAUAGUCCUUUUUGUUAUAUAUUUCAGCUCAGAUGGGUGGAAGAGCUUAAAAUUAUGGAGGGAAUUGGGGUUGUGGCUCAGUGGUAGAGUACUUGCCUACUAUGUGUGAGGCACUGGGUAGAGACAAAUGCUUAAAAUCCAACUGUCAUUUUUUUAGAGCUGUGCUGUACAAUACAUAUGGCUAGUUAAGUUGUAAAAAUGAAAUAAACCAGUUUUUCAAUCUCAAAAAAAAA
rnacentral:lncRNA from 1 species